AGAUUGAACGCUGGCGGCAUGCCUUACACAUGCAAGUCGAACGGCAGCACGGGAGCAAUCCUGGUGGCGAGUGGCGAACGGGUGAGUAAUACAUCGGAACGUGCCCAAUCGUGGGGGAUAACGCAGCGAAAGCUGUGCUAAUACCGCAUAAGAUCUACGGAUGAAAGCAGGGGAUCGGCAAGACCUUGCGCGAAUGGAGCGGCCGAGUGGCAGAUUAGGUAGUUGGUGAGGUAAAGGCU
rnacentral:rRNA from 1 species